GUUCAUCAGGGCGUCAGAGGAUUUGUUCUAGAUGCCACAGAUGGCAGGGGUAUAUUAAAUGCCACCAUUAGUGUUGCUGAGAUUAAUCACCCAGUGACUACUUACAAAACUGGAGAUUACUGGCGUCUCUUGGUUCCAGGAACUUAUAAAAUCACAGCAUCUGCUCGAGGGUAUAAUCCAGUUACCAAGAAUGUGACUGUCAAGAGUGAAGGCGCUAUUCAGGUCAACUUCACACUUGUUCGAUCCUCAACAGAUUCAAACAAUGAAUCAAAGAAAGGAAAAGGGGCUAGCAGCAGCACCAAUGAUGCCAGUGAUCCAACUACUAAAGAGUUUGAAACUUUAAUUAAAGACCUUUCAGCGGAGAAUGGUUUGGAAAGCCUCAUGUUACGCUCCUCCUCAAAUCUGGCUCUGGCUCUUUAUCGAUACCAUUCCUACAAAGACUUAUCAGAGUUUCUGAGAGGACUUGUAAUGAACUAUCCACAUAUUACAAAUCUUACCAAUUUGGGACCAAAAAACUUGCUCUUAUCUUCUCAAAUUGUAUUCUAUAUCCAUUAAUGUAUCAGUUAUCCCAAAGCCUUCAGGUGGAGGGGUUUACCACCUUCCUAGGUCGUUCAACCAGGUUUUGUGAGGAAUGCAUUCAAAGUGGCUUUAUAAAAGAAGAUUUUCUUUAGCAAGAAUAA
rnacentral:lncRNA from 1 species